rnacentral:rRNA from 1 species
CUUGACAUGCAUUGUGUUCGUCGUGAAAGCCGGCUAGUCCUGGAAACAGGACGCUUUGCACAGGUGCUGCAUGGCUGUCGUCAGCUCGUGUCGUGAGAUGUUGGGUUAAGUCCCGCAACGAGCGCAACCCUUGUGGUCAGUUACUAACCGGCUUAGCCGGAGGACUCUGGCCAGACUGCCCUGUCAAACGGGGAGGAAGGUGGGGACGACGUCAAGUCAGUAUGGCCCUUAUGGCCAGGGCUGCACACGUACUACAAUGCCCGGUACAAUGUGAGCCGAAACCGCGAGGUGGAGGAAAUCGCUCUUGAAAACCGGGCCCAGUUCGGAUUGGAGUCUGCAACUCGACUCCAUGAAGUCGGAAUCGCUAGUAAUGGCGUAUCAGCAACGACGCCGUGAAUACGUUCCCGGGUCUUGUACACACCGCCCGUCACAUCAUGGAAGUCUCCUGUACCCGAAGCACGUGCGCCAACCUUUCAGGAGGCAGCGUUCGAAGGUAUGGGAGGUAACUGGGAUGAAGUCGUAACAAGGUAACCAAGGGCGAA